rnacentral:rRNA from 1 species
GAUGAACGCUGGCGGCGUGCCUAAUACAUGCAAGUCGAGCGAACGGACGAGAAGCUUGCUUCUCUGAUGUUAGCGGCGGACGGGUGAGUAACACGUGGAUAACCUACCUAUAAGACUGGGAUAACUUCGGGAAACCGGAGCUAAUACCGGAGGAUAUUUUGAACCGCAUGGUUCAAAAGUGAAAGACGGUCUUGCUGUCACUUAUAGAUGGAUCCGCGCUGCAUUAGCUAGUUGGUAAGGUAACGGCUUACCAAGGCAACGAUGCAUAGCCGACCUGAGAGGGUGAUCGGCCACACUGGAACUGAGACACGGUCCAGACUCCUACGGGAGGCAGCAGUAGGGAAUCUUCCGCAAUGGGCGAAAGCCUGACGGAGCAACGCCGCGUGAGUGAUGAAGGUCUUCGGAUCGUAAAACUCUGUUAUUAGGGAAGAACAUAUGUGUAAGUAACUGUGCACAUCUUGACGGUACCUAAUCAGAAAGCCACGGCUAACUACGUG